rnacentral:rRNA from 1 species
CAGUCGCCGCGGUAACACGUAGGGUGCAAGCGUUAAUCGGAAUUAUUGGGCGUAAAGCGAGUGCAGACGGUUACUUAAGCCAGAUGUGAAACCCCCGAGCUUAACUUGGGACGUGCAUUUGGAACUGGGUGACUAGAGUGUGUCAGAGGGAGGUAGAAUUCCACAUGUAGCGGUGGAAUGCGUAGAGAUGUGGAGGAAUACCGAUGGCGAAGGCAGCCUCCUGGGCCAAUACUGACGCUCAUGCACGAAAGCGUGGGGAGCAAACAGGAUUAGAUACCCGCGUAGUCCCUGUCUCUUAUAC